GAUGAACGCUGGCGGCGUGCUUAACACAUGCAAGUCGAACGAAGCACUUUAUUUGAUUUCCUUCGGGACUGAUUAUUUUGUGACUGAGUGGCGGACGGGUGAGUAACGCGUGGGUAACCUGCCUUGUACAGGGGGAUAACAGUUGGAAACGGCUGCUAAUACCGCAUAAGCGCACGGCAUCGCAUGAUGCAGUGUGAAAAACUCCGGUGGUAUAAGAUGGACCCGCGUUGGAUUAGCUAGUUGGUGGGGUAACGGCCCACCAAGGCGACGAUCCGUAGCCGACCUGAGAGGGUGACCGGCCACAUUGGGACUGAGACACGGCCCAAACUCCUAUGGGAGGCAGCAGUGGGGAAUAUUACACAAUGGGCGAAAGCCUGAUGCAGCGACGCCGCGUGAGCGAAGAAGUAUUUCGGUAUGUAAAGCUCUAUCAGCAGGGA
rnacentral:rRNA from 1 species